GCAGAGAAGUUAUUGGAAAGGUUUUUGUUUAAUUUCGCUUCGUGUGCCUUUCAAUGUGUCAUUUGGUUUGGCCAUGUAGCGCCUGAGUGGAUAUGAAGUUGAACUGGAGGAUACCGAUGUAGUGUUAGCUUCAGUUCAACUUAUCGACUCAGGUGCUACAUGGCCUAACUAAAUGCCACGAUGAAAGAUACACAAAGCAAAAUUAAACAAUAACCUUUCCACUCACUUCUCAGC